CGAGGCAGAGAGACAGAAGGGGAAAACAGAGAUACUGAAAGGCAGGCAGAUACUGGAGGCUGUGUAGGAAGAUGCUCCAUGCUGGUGCAGUCCACAAAGCGGGUUUACUGACAGCUCUGAGUUUAUUAACCCUGAGAAGAGGGAAAUACUUCAUUUUCAGUUCCAGAAAGACCAACUGUAACUCCUGUGACAGCCCACUGUAGUGUGGAGAAUUUGGCACUCAACCCCUGGGAGCUAUCAAAUAAAAGCAUCAGCUAAAUGAGCAUGUAGCACAAACUUCUGGGCCUUAUAUAGGGUACAAGCAGUCUCUGAGGGCCCCCUUCAACUCCUGGUACCUGUCUCUCACGCAUCUUUGAAAAAUGUUGACAAAUAAUUGAGCUAACAACUGUACACAUUAAACUGUGGUGGUGAUUAUGGUAGUCACUAAUAAACUGUUCUUUACAAAUAUUAAACAAGUAACAAUAAUCUAUGAUUUGUACUCAAGUCUGCACAGUUUGAAAUCUCAACACAUUUCAGCCCUCUUUUCUCAUCACACUGUCUCCUGCAAUUACUUUACUAUAGUUAAAUAAGGUUUGCUAUGAAUAUCACGCUUAAAAUAAAAUAGAAAAUAAUUUUAUUUUAAGCAUUGAUAUUGAUCAUGUUUAUUCAAGUAUUCAUCAUUCCCACAUCAUAAGACAACGCUGAAAAAAUACCAUCUUUGUUGUUGUAGCCUUACAUUGAGAAAAUGCAUACUAUACUGCUUAUUAAAAAAACAACUGAACAA